AAUCAACGCUGGCGGCGUGCCUAACACAUGCAAGUCGAACGCGAAAAUCCCGCAAGGGAUUAGUAGAGUGGCAAACGGGUGAGUAACACGUGGGUGACCUGCCUUCGAGUGGGGGAUAACGUCCCGAAAGGGACGCUAAUACCGCAUGACAUCCUGUCUUUGGAAAGACGGAGAUCAAAGCUGGGGAUUCGCAAGAACCUGGCGCCUGAAGAGGGGCCCGCGCCUGAUUAGCAGUUGGUGGGGUAACGGCCUACCAAGGCGACGAUCAGUAUCCGGCCUGAGAGGGCGGACGGACACACUGGGACUGAGACACGGCCCAGACUCCUACGGGAGGCAGCAGUGGGGAAUUGUUCGCAAUGGGCGAAAGCCUGACGACGCAACGCCGCGUGGAGGACGAAGAUC
rnacentral:rRNA from 1 species